UAAAAGGGUCGGUUGGCUAAUUAUGCCACGCUUGCCCGCGUCUAUUGGCAAGUGCUGUAUGGCUAUCUAGACAUAUGGCUGACAUAAUUUCUGGAAAUCUGUAGGGUUGGCUCGCUUCGGCCGACCCUCUC